CUUCUGCCUAUUUUCGCCGGAGUUCUAAUAGCAAUGGUUAUGCUCAAUUGCGUUCUACAAAUAGCUUUAGUAGAAGUCACCGUGAUAGGGAUUUGGAAGAUGAAAAUGAUUACCAAGAGAAGGAAAAGUUGGUCUUAGGUGAACAUAGGCACUAUCAUAAUUCUGAUCCUCUGGAUAACAUUUUGCCAAGUAAAUUUGAAAAAGAUAAAUUACGCAGUUCUCGGUCUAUGAUUACAAGAAAACAGGAUGAAACUUGGUCCAAGAAAGUAGCUGGUGAUUUAACUAACAAAAAUAAACAGAGCAACGGUAAUGAGAAUGGU
rnacentral:misc_RNA from 1 species